UACAGAGACUGCAAGCGUUAUUCGGAUUCACUGGGCGUAAAGGGUGCGCAGGCGGCCGUGUGUGUGAGGCGUGAAAGCCCGGAGCUCAACUCCGGAAUUGCACCUCAAACUACACGGCUAGAGCAUUGGAGAGGGUAGCGGAAUUCACGGUGUAGCAGUGAAAUGCGUAGAUAUCGGGAGGAACACCAGUGGCGAAGGCGACUUCCUGGCCUGUUCUUGACGCUGAGGCGCGAAAGCUAGGGGAGCAAACGGG
rnacentral:rRNA from 1 species